GGCCGAGUGGCGCAAUGGCUAGCGCAUUACUUUCCGGUGGUAAAGGCUCUGGGUUCGAGUCCCAGCUUGGUCG
rnacentral:tRNA from 1 species